rnacentral:rRNA from 1 species
AUUGAACGCUGGCGGCAGGCUUAACACAUGCAAGUCGAGCGGAGAGAGGUAGCUUGCUACUGAUCUUAGCGGCGGACGGGUGAGUAAUGCUUAGGAAUCUGCCUAUUAGUGGGGGACAACAUUUCGAAAGGAAUGCUAAUACCGCAUACGUCCUACGGGAGAAAGCAGGGGGUCUUCGGACCUUGCGCUAAUAGAUGAGCCUAAGUCGGAUUAGCUAAUUGGUGGGGUAAAGGCCUACCAAGGCGACGAUCUGUAGCGGGUCUGAGAGGAUGAUCCGCCACACUGGGACUGGGGCACGGCCCGGACUCCUACGGGAGGCAGCAGUGGGGAAUAUUGGACAAUGGGCGCAAGCCUGAUCCAGCCAUGCCGCGUGUGUGAAGAAGGCCUUAUGGUUGUAAAGCACUUUAAGCGAGGAGGAGGCUACUUUAGAUAAUACCUAAAGAUAGUGGACGUUACUCGCAGAAUAAGCACCGGCUAACUCUGUGCCAGCAGCCGCCGUAA